rnacentral:lncRNA from 1 species
GAACCAACAAACAGAAGUAACUACUCACAACUCUAAAGUAUUAUUUAUGUUAUUAAAAGCCUAAGUCAUUGUGUCAUUAUCAAACCAACCAAUGCCAUUACCAUGUGUGUUUAGCGAAGUCUGUUUGAAGAUAGUUUGAUGUCAUUGAGAAGGGCUGACUUUCAGAUAUAGAUAGUGCUCUGAAAUAACAAUAAAAAUAUUAGAAAGCAAGAUUCUGUUAUGUCAUUUUCUACGUUUCUUUUAAAUCUUGGUAACCUUAUUAUAAUGUACUACUAUUCCUCCUGUGACUGAAAUAAACCAUAUGCAAUCUAAUACUGUAACUCUUAAACUGUAGCUCUUGUUCCUUUGGGGAUCAUCAGCUGGUUCAUCCAGUUUGUGAAGCUGGUAACAGUGCCCAUUGAGAGGGCUUUUUGUGAAACUGUCUAGAAGUGACUUUGAAGUUGAAGAACCCUGUUCACAUGUAAAUCCCAUGACUGAUAAUUAUUGCGAGUCUCUGGAGUGGUUCAAAUCCUGAGCAAUUUCAUGUGGCUUAUCUUAAUUUCAUACAGUAAUAACAAUUUGACUUUCUGUCGUCUUACUAAUUUCUUUUCAGUUACUGUAAAGCUACAGAUUAGUUCUUAAAGUACAAUCCUGGGUUCCUUAGGGAGCAAAUGACUUUAGGACUUAGCCUGACCUUUGAGAUUUUCAAAUAUUGUUUCUCAACCUUCAAAGGGAAUUGCAGCUAGUGAUUUGAUGGGCUUUCCUAAUUUCUAUGAUAUUAUAAAGAAACUGUUGAAUGUGUACUGUGCAUUUCCUAUUAUAGAGGAGACUUGUCAUUUACUGUGUGAUUACUAAGGUUAUCCUGGCUUCACUUACUCUCUGUAACUGCAAGAAAUAAGCACAGAGUCUCCGAACUGUGCGUUAGUCUCAUGUACAGAGACUAAGGUGAUGUACAGUGGAGUGUACGUACGCAGACCUAUGGAUCCCAGCAUUCUAACUGAAGCUAUACACUACAUUUUCAGUUGUCACUGUUUUUUCCUUCCAAGGAUCUUAAGGACAGGAAUGAAAUGACUGAAAAACAAACAAGCCAACAAAACCAAGAGAACUGGAGAGUCUGGAGAGUGUUUUGUUUUCACUGUUUUUCUAUGAAUGAAAAUAUUGAAAGUCUAUAUGACUCAACUAAUGUUCAGGCAGGAGUGUGUGUGUGUGUGUGUGUGUGUGUGUGUGUGCAUUUGACUGUAUGUGUACAUUGUAUGCAUAUUUUGCAUAGAUUGAUGUGAAAGUCCUCUGUUCAUAUGCCGUAAUAAAAAUAACUUUUGUC